rnacentral:miRNA from 1 species
GUACAUGUGUACCUCUAUGUGUGUCAUUGUUAGUAUAUGUAUAUGUGUUAGAUUGUGUAUCUGCAUGUGUAUCUGUGUGAUGCACACACAGAUACACAUGCAGAUAGACAAUCUAACACAUAUACAUAUACUAACAAUGACACACAUAGAGGUACACAUGUGU